GCGGGAGUAGCUCAGUUGGCUAGAGCACCAGCCUUCCAAGCUGGGUGUCGCGAGUUCGAGUCUCGUUUCCCGCUCCA
rnacentral:tRNA from 1 species